rnacentral:tRNA from 1 species
GUGUCAGUAGCUCAGUUGGAUAGAGCAACGGCCUUCUAAGCCGUGGGUCGGGGGUUCGAAUCCCUCCUGGCACA